rnacentral:rRNA from 1 species
CCUACGGGUGGCAGCAGUGAGGAAUAUUGGUCAAUGGCCGAGAGGCUGAACCAGCCAAGUCGCGUGAGGGAUGACGGCCCUAUGGGUUGUAAACCUCUUUUGCCGGUGAGCAAAGUGCCGCACGUGUGCGGGUUGGAGAGUACCCGGAGAAAAAGCAUCGGCUAACUCCGUGCCAGCAGCCGCGGUAAUACGGAGGAUGCGAGCGUUAUCCGGAUUUAGUGGGUUUAAAGGGUGCGUAGGCGGACGCUUAAGUCAGCGGUAAAAUUGCGGGGCUCAACCUCGUCGAGCCGUUGAAACUGGGUGCCGUGAGUGGGCGAGAAGUACGCGGAAUGCGUGGUGUAGCGGUGAAAGGCAUAGAUAUCACGCAGAACUCCGAUUGCGAAGGCAGCGUACCGGCGCCCAACUGACGCUGAAGCACGAAGGCGUGGGUAUCGAACAGGAUUAGAUACCCUUGUAGUC